UACGGAGGGUGCAAGCGUUAUCCGGAUUCACUGGGUUUAAAGGGUGCGUAGGCGGGCAGGUAAGCCAGUGGUGAAAUCUCCGAGCUUAACUCGGAAACUGCCAUUGAUACUAUUUGUCUUGAAUAUUGUGGAGGUAAGCGGAAUAUGUCAUGUAGCGGUGAAAUGCUUAGAUAUGACAUAGAACACCAAUUGCGUAGGCAGCUUACUACACGAUCAUUGACGCUGAGGCACGAAAGCGUGGGGAGCAAACAGG
rnacentral:rRNA from 1 species